rnacentral:lncRNA from 1 species
UCAAUAGUUAUGAUAAAAGUCAACAUAUGAGAAAAGUCAACAAUAAUGGUAAAAGUCAACAUUGGUCAGAGCAUGGUGAACAAAAUUGAAAUGAUCAAAGUCAAUCAAUAGUCAAUUAUAAGUCACAAACCAACAAAAUAUAAAGAUUAACAGAGAACCUUUGAACCGUUAAGUAAAAUGAAAUGUAAGGUGGACCAGAUGAAACUUUUAUGGUGUAUUAGAUGAAUUUAG